rnacentral:lncRNA from 1 species
AGGAUGGCUAGAUGAUUUAGAUGCAUGGGCUGCCUUUAGAACAUCCAUCCUGACCGCUACAGGUACUCAAACACGAUCACAUAACUGAUACAGACCAGCAAAUCAGGACAUCAGAUGUAAACUUACCAAGGUUCUACUAAAGUUCAAGAUCAGUUGAUUGAGCCUCCCAAAUCUACAUGAAGAGUUUAGGCAAGGCCCAAAUUUGGGCAAGAUAAACACUAUUUCCAUAAUGAUUCAGAUAAAGUGACUGCAUUAUAUCAACCGAUUUCUAA